rnacentral:lncRNA from 1 species
GUAGAGCUAUCUUCAGCAUGGAAAUAUCUUGUAAGGAAAAGAAGGAGGGAGGACUGAUGUUAAUGGGCUAUAUGAAAGGAGUCCUGGAAGGAUGCCAAGGGCUAUGCGCAAAAGAUAGAAAAGGACUAUGUUUAGCUAAAAUUUUUUUAAAGUUUAUGUUAUGUUAUGUUAAGUUGAACAUUGUGUUAUACGUCAUUGUGGAGGCCUUUUUGAGUAAUGUAGCGUGCAUGCGUUCGAGUUCGUGAUGCAGCAUCUGUGUUCUAUGUUCCAUUUUUGAAAUCAAAAUUUUAUGUAGAAUGUAUGAGCUGAUGAGGGCUUUGUAAAGCCGAAAACGUCAG